CAGUAGCCGCGGUAAAACGGAGGGUGCAAGCGUUAAUCGGAAUUACUGGGCGUAAAGCGUGCGUAGGCGGUUCGUUAAGUCUGUUGUGAAAGCCCCGGGCUCAACCUGGGAAUGGCAAUGGAUACUGGCGAGCUAGAGUGUGUCAGAGGAUGGUGGAAUUCCCGGUGUAGCGGUGAAAUGCGUAGAGAUCGGGAGGAACGUCAGUGGCGAAGGCGGCCAUCUGGGACAACACUGACGCUGAGGCACGAAAGCGUGGGGAGCAAACAGGAUUAGAUACCCCCGUAGUCCCUGUCUCUUAUAC
rnacentral:rRNA from 1 species